AGUCAAGUUACAGUUUACAUCCACGUCUGUCCAAAAUGUCAUCACUUCAUCAUUUUAUCAUAAUUAACAUCUGUGGUGAAAGUGUCAUAAUUAGCAGAUGAAUUCUUGAGUUAUGGUUAAAAAUGUGUUUCUGAGGACACAGUGACCUUUGACCUUUGACCACCAAACUCUAAUCAGGUCAUACUUGAGAAAGCAUCAGUUCAGUGUUCACUGCAUCCAUUCUGAUAA